GGAAUUCCUGUAUGUUGUUUCUUUUGAGUUUACCGUUUCUUCUAAUGUGUUAUGCUUACAAUUAAUAUGUGUUAAUGGAUAGAAGCUGCAAACAACAUUCAAGGAAAUACAAGAGGAUGACAUGGAGAAGAUGUUACAAUCCACUGUGGAUGGUGAUCAGAGGAGUACAGACAUGCAAAUCAUGUUGGGGCCCACUGAGAUUGACCAUGAAGAGGUGCUGGAUGACAGUCUCAUGUCCCUAAAACAGCACGACAACCUCAGGAAAUCAGAAGUGGCUAUUGAUACCAUCCAAGCUCCCCAUUACAUGAAAAGAAAGGACAAACAGAAACAUACAGUCCAUACCAAAAAGCUGAAGAAGUCUGCUGGGAACAAAACAAAUCAGAAGGGUCAAAAAAUCAGAACAAAAGAGAGCAAGAAUUUGGACCCUAUGAAGGCAAAGCCAAAGAAUGUGGCAGAAGAUAAGAAAGCAAAAAAGAAAAAGCACCAUUCUAAAAAACAACUACUUCCUGAAACAAUAUGCACUCAUGGUGAACGAAGGAAACUCAAAUUCACACCAGAAUUUCUAGCAAUGCUCAGACUUGUCUUUCAACAUGAUAUCCAGAAAAAAUGCAUCAGGAAGAAGAAAAUACAACACAUUCUAAGGAGAAACCCAGAAUUCUUACGGAUAUGUAAGAAAAUGGAACUAUCCAUUGAAAAUCCCCUUUCCGAGUAUGCUGUUUUCUGCUGCUCAUUACAUAUUCAUGAUCUGCUGCUAAUUUGGCCACGCCUGAAGCUUCUGUAGAAUCUUUGCCCACGCCCCACUGACUGUUACCACUACUACUACGUUAACUUUUACAUGGACAUGGCGGCAGUAGUUCAACCAUACAUGUCUGAACCAGAAUCGGAUCCUGAAGGAGGGGAGUCUCCUGCAGAACCCGAGACUCAGAGAAUUCAGCAAGACGCUUCUGAAUGGUGCACAUGUGGAAAUUGUGCAACAAUGCCGUCAGAGUCUGAGAACUUAUGCUGCCAGGAGGUACCACAGGUUACAAGACGACUGCAACAGCUGGAAGAAAGGCCUCCAUGUAUGAUAGACCAUCCAGGUUUAGAACCUGUUUGCCUAAAUGUGUUCUCACUGCAGAAUGCAUGCAACAUUUACAGGGCUGACUACGGUCCUUUACAGCUACGGGGAAUAGAGCAUCGUUACAGGUAUUUAGCCUACAGAAGUUUUGUGAGCUGGUGCUGGGGCUUCCUUGGUCGAAAAAUACGGGUAGUGAUCCCCUCGUGUGUCGUACUUCGGAUACGACGGGAGUUUCCAGACGCCCAGGGAAGAUACGUAGGCUUCAAACUCCCGCCCCUUGAUUGAAUCUGGAGACGUAGCUGGCGAUGACCUCCUCCUUGUCUGGAUGCUCAUAUUCUGAAGACGGGUCCGGCGGGAUGUUUAGCUUCAGAAUCUCGUCUCCAUAUGAUGAUGAAAAAGUUAAUCACUAAUAUAAUUUACUACAUUAUUUAACAACUAUUCAUAUUGACAUUAUGCAUGUGAAAUUUUAGUUUCUCAGGUAUUUAAGUAAGUUUGUUUGGUU